rnacentral:ncRNA from 1 species
GAAGGUCUGGCCCUUCGGAGCCGCCCUGCGGAGGAAGACUCCAAACCACCUCAUGCCGCGUUGGCUGAAGACUGUCGUGGUGAGCGAUGAGGAAAAGGCGCCGGUGAGGCGUCAGGU